AGAGUUUGAUCCUGGCUCAGGACGAACGCUGGCGGCGUGCUUAACACAUGCAAGUCGAACGGAAAGGCCCUGCUUGCAGGGUGCUCGAGUGGCGAACGGGUGAGUAACACGUGGGUGAUCUGCCCCUUACUUUGGGAUAAGCCUGGGAAACUGGGUCUAAUACUGGAUAGGACCAUGCUGUAGGUGGUGUGGUGGAAAGAUUAGUUUCGGUAAGGGAUGAGCUCGCGGCCUAUCAGCUUGUUGGUGGGGUAAUGGCCUACCAAGGCGUCGACGGGUAGCCGGCCUGAGAGGGUGGACGGCCACAUUGGGACUGAGAUACGGCCCAGACUCCUACGGGAGGCAGCAGUGGGGAAUAUUGCACAAUGGGCGCAAGCCUGAUGCAGCGACGCCGCGUGGGGGAUGACGGCCUUCGGGUUGUAAACUCCUUUCAGCCAUGACGAAGCCUUCGGGUGACGGUAGUGGUAGAAGAAGCACCGGCUAACUACGUGCCAGCAGCCGCGGUAAUACGUAGGGUGCGAGCGUUGUCCGGAAUUACUGGGCGUAAAGAGCUCGUAGGUGGUCUGUCGCGUCAUUUGUGAAAGCCCGGGGCUUAACUCCGGGUUGGCAGGUGAUACGGGCAUGACUGGAGUACUGUAGGGGAGACUGGAAUUCCUGGUGUAGCGGUGAAAUGCGCAGAUAUCAGGAGGAACACCGGUGGCGAAGGCGGGUCUCUGGGCAGUAACUGACGCUGAGGAGCGAAAGCAUGGGUAGCGAACAGGAUUAGAUACCCUGGUAGUCCAUGCCGUAAACGGUGGGCGCUAGGUGUGGGUUUCCUUCCACGGGAUCCGUGCCGUAGCUAACGCAUUAAGCGCCCCGCCUGGGGAGUAGGCCGCAAGGCUAAACUCAAAGGAAUUGACGG
rnacentral:rRNA from 1 species